CUACGGAACUCCUACGGGAGGCAGCAGUAGGGAAUCUUCCACAAUGGGCGAAAGCCUGAUGGAGCAACGCCGCGUGGGUGAAGAAGGUCUUCGGAUCGUAAAACCCUGUUGUUAGAGAAGAAAGUGCGUGAGAGUAACUGUUCACGUUUCGACGGUAUCUAACCAGAAAGCCACGGCUAACUACGUGCCAGCAGCCGCGGUAAUACGUAGGUGGCAAGCGUUAUCCGGAUUUAUUGGGCGUAAAGGGAACGCAGGCGGUCUUUUAAGUCUGAUGUGAAAGCCUUCGGCUUAACCGGGGUAGUGGAUUGGGAACUGGGAGACUUGAGUGCAGAAGAGGAGAGGGGAACUCCAUGUGUAGCGGUGAAAUGCGUAGAUAUAUGGAAGAACAACAGUGGCGAAAGCGGCUCUCUGGUCUGUAACUGACGCUGAGGUUCGAAAGCGUGGGUAGCAAACAGGAUUAGAUACCCCUGUAGUCCUCUUCGA
rnacentral:rRNA from 1 species